UGCGCUAACGGUAUACGCUGGCGGGGCACCAGUGAGGGAUGAUAGGUGACGACGAAAGCAGGUCAGUUAGUCCAUCGUGAUGAAUGCGACAAGUAUUAAUCACAAUGGUUUUCAGGGGGAACCGCGUGGAGGUCGAGCUGACUGAGCUGAUGAGGGCUGGUUAGUAAUGGGAUUACUAGUCCCCUCUUAUUUAGUAUUAAUACGACCUUUAACUAAUGAAUAAAUAAAUGAGGUUAACCAAAGUGAGUGUGGUGUAAAUCUAAUAAUUGUGCCGGAUUCGAACCCACGGCUAUUAGAAGGUGAGGCAGCGUGUUCAACCGCUAAACCACUAGCCAACGUUGGUACUGGUAAUAUAAAGAGUUAUGUAAUCUAUUACCAAAUAUAAACAGGAUAUGCCUUACAUUUGAAGGCAGGUACAUCAUCAGUCCUUAUUCGUUCCAUAAUGACAUCACUACACUUUCAUCCGCCGACGCAGUCGGUGAAAUGACUUUGUUUGCAUUCGAAGGAAUCGAUUCAGUGAGAGUGGACAGUGGUGGGUUUCUUUUUUCCUAAAUAAAUAUAUGUUAUUAAAAAAAAUGGCUGUUUAUGUUCUCAUAGUUGUAUGUAGUAUAAAUUUUGCCCUUGCCAGUGGAUUAUUAGAGAAAGCUACUAAUGGAUCUGACUCCGUGGUAACAUUAACAACAAUCAAUAAUUUAAAUGCAUCAAUAAUACAUGGAGAAUCUAUGCCUCGAACCAGAUUCGAAGAUGAAGAGAUCCUAAUAAAAUAUAGAAGACAGAAUGGAGCUAUUAAAUUCGAAGAUCAGUCUG